rnacentral:misc_RNA from 1 species
UAGUGAGGGCAGCAAAUCGAUCACGCGUUGGGAAAGAGCUUGCCCUUCUGCGUUUCCGGGUUUUCUGCAUCUGCUUUUGUCAUUGCGUUAAAAACAAUUUGUCGAUUAAGUGGGGUCAAAGUUCUUUUGGAUGGAAAAUGGAAUGAACUACUUGUGGUUCCAGCAUCAGCCGAACAUGCAGGGUGGAGAUGGUUUGUACAGUCGUAUGAGCAGUAACCAGAUCUUCCGCGAAUCUGUUGACCCUGAGCUGGACCAUAAGACAAGGAGAGUUUCAGACAAAUUCUCAGAAAAUAUAAACACAGUGGCCAAUGAACCAUCGCUGGCUUUCUUCCGUAUCCAGGAGCACGUGAGGAAGACUCUGCCACAGCUGGUGGAACAGAAGCAUGAAGUGCAGAGUAUACAACAGCAAGUUCAAGGGGCAUGUUUCGAUACAGAAUAUGCCACAAAUGCUGUGAAGACAAUGUACCAGAGUGAAUUCCACUUCCAAAACAUCCAGGAACUGCUGAAGAAUGCCAUGUUUAUGAAACAGCAGAUAGGAUAUGAAGAAAGUAGAAGGGCUUCAAUAGUACAGUCCCAGGAUGGAAGUCUUCCUGCUGCAUCAAGUACCACAUUGUCUGCAACUGUCUCAAGUUCACCCCCUCAACAAACAAAUCCCACUUUGUCUACAUCUCUCCCAGCUUCAACUUCAACUGCAAGAGCUCCACCAUCAAAAGCUACAGCCACAAGACCUAACCCUACUGAUCCAGAUAUGCUAAGUCCAGUUCCUGUUCCUGGAGUUUCUCCAGGAGUUGCUGCUGGUCCUUCAGGUGUUGUCCAGUCAGUGAUGGUCAACUGUCAUACCGAUGACAUCGAUGUAGCAACUGAGGCUGAUGAGGACAUUUCCAGCUAGUCUCAUUGGAUCCAUCCCAACCGUCAUACCGAUGACAUCGAUGUUGCAGCUGAAGCUGAUGAGGACAAUACCAGCUAUUCUCAUUGGAUCCAACACGACAUUGAUGACAUCGAUGUACAAACUGUAACAAU